UACGUAGGGGGCAAGCGUUGUCCGGAAUCAUUGGGCGUAAAGCGCGCGUAGGCGGCCCUGUAAGUCCGUUGUGAAAGUCAAAGGCUCAACCUUUGAAAGCCGAUGGAUACUGCAGGGCUAGAGUCCGGAAGAGGCGAGUGGAAUUCCUGGUGUAGCGGUGGAAUGCGCAGAUAUCAGGAGGAACACCAAUAGCGAAGGCAGCUCGCUGGGACGGUACUGACGCUAAGGCGCGAAAGCGUGGAGAGCGAACAGG
rnacentral:rRNA from 1 species